rnacentral:rRNA from 1 species
UACGUAGGGUGCGAGCGUUGUCCGGAAUUACUUGGCGUAAAGAGCUCGUAGGUGGUUUGUCGCGUUGUUCGUGAAAACCGGGGGCUUAACCCUCGGCGUGCGGGCGAUACGGGCAGACUUGAGUACUGCAGGGGAGACUGGAAUUCCUGGUGUAGCGGUGGAAUGCGCAGAUAUCAGGAGGAACACCGGUGGCGAAGGCGGGUCUCUGGGCAGUAACUGACGCUGAGGAGCGAAAGCGUGGGGAGCGAACAGG